UACGUAGGGAGCAAGCGUUGUCCGGAAUCAUUGGGCGUAAAGCGCGCGUAGGUGGCUCUGUAAGUCCGUUGUGAAAGUCAAAGGCUCAACCUUUGAAAGCCGAUGGAUACUGCAGAGCUAGAGUACGGAAGAGGCGAGUGGAAUUCCCCAGUGUAGAGGGUGAAAUUCGUAGAUAUUGGGAAGAACACCAGUGGCGAAGGCGGCUCACUGGCUCGUAACUGACGCUCAGGCGCGACAGCGUGGGGAUCGAAACAGG
rnacentral:rRNA from 1 species